rnacentral:rRNA from 1 species
GGCGCACGGGUGAGUAAUACAUAGGAACAUACCUUUUGGUGGGGAAUAACCACGGGAAACUGUGGCUAAUACCGCAUGGCGUCGUGAGACUAAAGAGGGCCUCUACUUGUAAGCUCUCGCCAGAAGAGUGGCCUAUGUCCCAUUAGCUAGUUGGUAGGGUAAAAGCCUACCAAGGCGACGAUGGGUACGCUGGUCUGAGAGGAUGAUCAGCCACACUGGGACUGAGACACGGCCCAGACUCCUACGGGAGGCAGCAGUAGGGAAUUUUGCACAAUGGGCGCAAGCCUGAUGCAGCAAUGCCGCGUGAGUGAAGAAGGCCCUUGGGUUGUAAAGCUCUUUCGGCCGGGAACGAACGGGUUAUCUCGCGAACAGUUAGGUAAUCUGACGGUACCGGAAGAAGAAGGACCUGCUAACUACGUGCCAGCA